rnacentral:rRNA from 1 species
ACGUACACUCCUGCGGGAGGCAGCAGUGAGGAAUAUUGGACAAUGGGUGGAAGCCUGAUCCAGCCAUCCCGCGUGCAGGAAGACGGCCCUAUGGGUUGUAAACUGCUUUUAUCUGGGGAUAAACCUACUUACGUGUAAGUAGCUGAAGGUACCAGAAGAAUAAGCACCGGCUAACUCCGUGCCAGCAGCCGCGGUAAUACGGAGGGUGCAAGCGUUAUCCGGAUUUAUUGGGUUUAAAGGGUCCGUAGGCGGACUGAUAAGUCAGUGGUGAAAUCCGACAGCUUAACUGUCGAACUGCCAUUGAUACUGUUAGUCUUGAGUAAGGUUGAAGUGGCUGGAAUAAGUAGUGUAGCGGUGAAAUGCAUAGAUAUUACUUAGAACACCAAUUGCGAAGGCAGGUCACUAAGUCUUAACUGACGCUGAUGGACGAAAGCGUGGGGAGCGAACAGGAGUAGAAACCCGGGUAGUCCCAUG